AUGAUAUUUGGAACAUGGUUUUUAAUAUUUUCAUCUCUUUUCCCUCCCCUCCUCUGUUAAUUGAGUCUCGGGAACAGAACCUAAACCAGUAGCCCCAUCCCACAAUUCCCUUAUCCACCCUCCAUCUUCAUCUUCUCCCUGAACAACCUUCACCUUUCUUCACACCGGAACCCUACCGUCGAACCAGCAACCCACUCGUCUCCUCAUCCCCACCACGUCGCCGGUUCAGAUUACCUCACCACCUCCACAUCUCCCUUGCCGGCGCCGCCCUGAAUAGCACCGCCGGUCAACCACAGCCCUACUUCUCCGUCGCCGGCUCUGAUUAGGAACAACAUCAGUUUCAAUGGUGAUGCCCUUGAUGAUUGUUGAUAAACCAACCGUUGUGGAAAUAUGAGUGAAACAAAACGAACAACCGCAACCGCCUUAGUAGAUGCCUUCCACAUAUUUCUCCGAGCCUCGAGGACGAUGCUACAUCUUAAGCUUGGGGAGAUUAGAGGUAAUUUUUAUGUUUUCAUCUUAGCAUGCAUUAUCUAGUUUGUAAAUAGUUGCAUUUUUCAUGUUCAUUGCAUUUAGGGUGUAUAUACAUGCAUUAAAAAACAAAAAUUUCAAAAAAAAAAAAAGAAAAAAAAGCCGUUUCUGUUCCGCUGAAAAUGGUUUGUAAAAAAUGAGAAAUGAUAUGAUUUCUAGCAUGUCAAAGCUUAUGCGUGAAAUGGUAACUUUGGGGAAGAAAACAUAGAUAAUUUGGGAUAUGUUGAUAGGCUCGGCCCUAACUUAGGAACGCCAAUGUUGUAUGCAAUAACCUUAAUUGAAUAUAUGUGUUUAGUUUCCCAUCUUGAUGCUUAUGGUCAAAAAUUGAUCCUGACCAAAAAUCGGUUGAGUUGCAUAUUCUCUAUCACACACCAUGUUCCCCAUAUCAUGACACCUCCGUAAUUUCAUUGAAAAAAAAAUAAAGAGGUGAAAAAUUGACCU
rnacentral:lncRNA from 1 species